UUGUCAUAAGUCACGCAUUUAGUUGUGUGCAGUAUUAGAUUAGUAUUAGAUUAUCUCGAAAUCUUCCACUUUACAUAUAAAAAUAAUAAAUAAAUAAAAAGCUAACCUGUUGAGUACAAUAUGAUGAUGAAUUAAGCUAUAACAAAAAUUAAUAUUUUUAAGGGUCUCAUUGAUAUAAAGGUGCUAUUGUGAUGUUUUGUGUCCAUGUGGACAAGAGUGUCUGUGUGAAUGAAUGAAUGAAUGAAUGAGCUUACCUCUGGUGUGUUGGUGUGCAUAUUGAGAAACUCAAGCAGGAAUCUCCCUUUUAUAGCCGUGGAUGAUUGACUCAUUGCCCCAGUGAUUCACCCUGCGCCGGUCUAGUCUGGUUUGCCCUUACCGUCCUCCAUAGGCUUAAAGCCUGUUGGAAGACCCCUUCCACAUGUUCUAGUCCAAGACACCGGAGCUGCAGGAACUGUGACAUUUCAGCAUAGGUGUUGAGCAGUAGUUGAUAGUGAUCCGUGACCAGGAUUUAUACAGUGAACACACUCAGAAGAACUGGACAAACUGAGGAGGAGUUUCAAAAUCUGGAAAAGCAGUUGGAAAAUGAGGAGAUCCAGGCAACAAUGGUGUCAAAGUUGUGCAGAUUUGAAGGAAGAAACCUCAAAGUCAGUGCCAGAAGGAUGCUAGACAGGUUUUGAAGGUGGGUGGUCUGCUGCAGGAGGAGGCAUUUGAAAAGACUGGACUGUUCUCGGUUAUUAAAGUAGGUAUCCAAGCAAAAGAGAAUGACUCCCUGUCACAAUUAUGUCAAAAAACUCUUCUUUUGCUUUUUUUCUUUUUCUUAUAUGACCAACAAUGUUGGACUUGAGGAAUGCAGUUGGGAAGCAUUUUAAAUAAGAAAUAUAACCAAUAAUUAAUAAUUUCCUUUAAGUUCACUGUUGGCUGUUUUAUUUGUUAAAAUAAGUAAACCAACAAAAGGGCUAAUCUUUUUUUAUGUUGUGAGUUAUCAGUAAUGUUUUAAUGUUAAAUGUAAUAACAUGCUCUUGAUUUGUAUUAAUUGAUUUUUUUAAUAUCUUAAGUUAUUUAAAAUAUAU
ensembl:lncRNA